UACGAAGGGUGCAAGCGUUACUCGGAAUUACUGGGCGUAAAGCGUGCGUAGGUGGUCUGUUAAGUCUGAUGUGAAAGCCCUGGGCUCAACCUGGGAAUUGCAUUGGAUACUGGCAGGCUAGAGUGCGGUAGAGGGUAGUGGAAUUCCCGGUGUAGCAGUGAAAUGCGUAGAGAUCGGGAGGAACACCAGUGGCGAAGGCGACUACCUGGACCAGCACUGACACUGAGGCACGAAAGCGUGGGGGAGCAAACAGG
rnacentral:rRNA from 1 species